UACGUAGGUGGCAAGCGUUGUUCGGAUUUAUUGGGCGUAAAGAGCUCGUAGGCGGUUUGGUAAGUCGGAUGUGAAAUCCCCAGGCUCAACCUGGGAACUGCAUCCGAUACUGGAUGGCUUGAAUUCGGGAGAGGGAUGCAGAAUUCCAGGUGUAGCGGUGAAAUGCGUAGAUAUCUGGAGGAAUACCGGUGGCGAAGGCGGCAUCCUGGACCGACAUUGACGCUGAACGGCGAAAGCUAGGGGAGCAAACGGG
rnacentral:rRNA from 1 species